GAGUCCCCGGUGCGCGUUCCCGAGCCGCGUAGUCCGACUGCGGAGCCAGAGCGGCGCCUGCGGGGACCCCAGCCUCAUCUUCCCGUGGGGUCAAGGAAGGCAGGCAGGCAGCUGGAUUUAUACGGCCGCCCAUAAGAAGCGACUCCGAGCCUCGUACAGCAAAUACAGAAACAAAAACACGCACAAAGAAACAUCAAAUGUAUUGCCUUGGAGAAAGGCUGCACCCAAAUGAGGCUGGGGGUGCUGGACUGGAACCGCCCGGCCAUCGAUUUCUACUUCCGGCGAGG